rnacentral:rRNA from 1 species
GGCUCAGGACGAACGCUGGCGGCGUGCCUAAUACAUGCAAGUCGAGCGCGGGAAGCAGACUGAAGCCUUCGGGCGGACGUCUGUGGAACGAGCGGCGGAUGGGUGAGUAACACGUGGGCAACCUGCCUGUAAGCUCGGGAUAACUAGCGGAAACGCUAGCUAAUACCGAAUAACGCUGCGCACCGCAUGGCGCGCAGAUGAAAGGCGGCGCAAGCUGCCACUUACAGAUGGGCCCGCGGCGCAUUAGCUAGUUGGUGGGGUAACGGCCUACCAAGGCGACGAUGCGUAGCCGACCUGAGAGGGUGAUCGGCCACACUGGGACUGAGACACGGCCCAGACUCCUACGGGAGGCAGCAGUAGGGAAUAUUCCGCAAUGGGCGAAAGCCUGACGGAGCGACGCCGCGUGAGCGAUGAAGGUCUUCGGAUCGUAAAGCUCUGUUGUUAGGGAAGAACAAGUACCGGAGUAACUGCCGGUACCUUGACGGUACCUAACCAGAAAGCCCCGGCUAACUACGUGCCAGCAGCCGCGGUAAUACGUAGGGGGCGAGCGUUGUCCGGAAUUAU